ACCGAAUUAGUGCUAGCACGGAAUCUCCAGGGAGACCGGGCUUGUUAGCGUGAGAAAUGAGUAGCAGAAAAGCCGGGGCGCUUAGGAGAGAAGAAGCCUCCUGUUGCGUCCUCACCAUUGUACAUAUCAUCGCUUAAGAUAUAGUCAUCAGCUAGAGCAGUGCUUAGAAGCUGACAGAUCCAUUGAUUCCAGGUAAACCAGAGAAACAAGCAUCCUGAGAAAUGGUACACACGUGGAAAAUGCUACUGUGCUGAAGCAACUUGUUUCAGAAGCCAGUGAAGUAGGGAAUAUACUAAAUUCCUUCCAAAAGCAUCCAUCCAUUUAUUCAUGCUUAUACUGGAGUAAGUUCCUUUUUAAAAAAACAGUAAAUAUGACAGUUUGUUCCUAAAAACCUGCAUUGUUUAUUGGUUACUGUGAAUUGUCUAAUUAUGCUUGUGUAUGGCCUAGGAGAGAGAAUUCACAAACUUCAUGCGGAUCUGAGACAGAGUUGUAGUAGGGAGUAUCAUAUCCCUGACCUGGUAUAUAUAUAUUACUGGCUUCGUAAGUACAGUUGUUUUUUCUAGUUGUCAGAUGUUUUGUUAAGUUGCGAAUACAGGUAUCGUGAAAAAUUGAAAGUAAUCCUGGAGCAGGAAGAGUACAAAGCUGUUUUUUCAAAAUUACAGUGGAGCCACUGGGUUGUGUAGAGUAGGGGAUAAGAACAUAUGCGAAAGCUAAGGGAUGGGAGGGCAUGCCAGAGCUCUUUUGGGGGAACUAAAGGGGGUGGCUUUGAUAGCAAAGGCAGGAAAGCAGUUCCAAGUAUCUCAGCCAAAGAGAUUGAAAUGACACGUCUAACUUUUUAGGGGGCUUCAGAUGUAGCUGAGUGGUUGAGGGCUUACCUAGCAUGCACAGGCCCCUGGUUUUGACAUGUAGCACCACAAAAAAUAAUAAUAGCAAUUUAUUUUUAGUAAAACACAACUACAAUAAGCAAAUUCUGGGUUUGAGAAAAUACUAUUCCUGGAGUAUUAGUACCCAAUAGCAGUGAUCUUAAGCUGCAAAGAAAACAACAUUCAAAGUAUUUCUUCCAAAGCAUUAAACUUUUAUAUAUGACUCGA
ensembl:lncRNA